rnacentral:rRNA from 1 species
GAUGAACGCUGGCGGCGUGCCUAAUACAUGCAAGUCGAACGAGGUGCUUGAGUAGCAAUACAAGAGUAUCCUAGUGGCGAACGGGUGAGUAACGCGUGGGUGACCUGCCCCGAAGUGUGGGAUAACAGUCCGAAAGGAUUGCUAAUACCUCAUGUGGUUAUCGGAUUUAGAAACUGAUAACUAAAGCAGCAAUGCGCUUUGGGAGGGACCUGCGUCCCAUCAGCUAGUUGGUGAGGUAAUGGCUCACCAAGGCUACGACGGGUAGGGGACCUGAGAGGGUGGCCCCCCACAAUGGAACUGAAACACGGUCCAUACACCUACGGGUGGCAGCAGUAGGGAAUAUUGCUCAAUGGGCGAAAGCCUGAAGCAGCAACGCCGCGUGUGCGAUGAAGGCCUUGGGUCGUAAAGCACUUUUCUAAGAGAUGAGAAAGGACAGUAUCUUAGGAAUAAGUCUCGGCUAACUACGUGCCAGCAGCCGCGGU